rnacentral:rRNA from 1 species
UUUGAUCAUGGCUCAGAAGCUGAACGCUGGCGGUAAGCCUAACACAUGCAAGUCGAACGGCAGCACAGGAGAGCUUGCUCUCUGGGUGGCGAGUGGCGGACGGGUGAGGAAUACAUCGGAAUCUACUCUGUCGUGGGGGAUAACGUAGGGAAACUUACGCUAAUACCGCAUACGACCUACGGGUGAAAGCAGGGGAUCUUCGGACCUUGCGCGAUUGAAUGAGCCGAUGUCGGAUUAGCUAGUUGGCGGGGUAAAGGCCCACCAAGGCGACGAUCCGUAGCUGGUCUGAGAGGAUGAUCAGCCACACUGGAACUGAGACACGGUCCAGACUCCUACGGGAGGCAGCAGUGGGGAAUAUUGGACAAUGGGCGCAAGCCUGAUCCAGCCAUACCGCGUGGGUGAAGAAGGCCUUCGGGUUGUAAAGCCCUUUU